rnacentral:rRNA from 1 species
AUUGAACGCUGGCGGCAUGCCUUACACAUGCAAGUCGAACGGCAGCGGGGGAGAAGCUUGCUUUUCCUGCCGGCGAGUGGCGAACGGGUGAGUAAUACAUCGGAACGUGCCCUGUAGUGGGGGAUAACUAGUCGAAAGAUUAGCUAAUACCGCAUACGACCUGAGGGUGAAAGUGGGGGACCGCAAGGCCUCAUGCUAUAGGAGCGGCCGAUGUCUGAUUAGCUAGUUGGUGGGGUAAAGGCCUACCAAGGCGACGAUCAGUAGCUGGUCUGAGAGUACGAUCGGCCACGCUGGGAGUGAGACCCGGCCCAGUGUCCUACGGGAGGCAGCAGGGGGGAAUUUUGGACAAUGGGCGAAAGCCUGAUCCAGCAAUGCCGCGUGUGUGAAGAAGGCCUUCGGGUUGUAAAGCACUUUUGUCCGGAAAGAAAUGGCUCUGGUUAAUACCGGGGGUCGAUGACGGUACCGGAAGAAUAAGGACCGGCUAACUACGUGCCAGCAGCCGCCGUAA